CCAGCCGGGGGGGCGGAUCGAAUCGGAGUUUCCUUAGGUAGCCACCGACCUACAGUUCUCCUUAAACUUCUGUGCUUGGUGGAAAAGAAGCGAACAAAGGUACGCUCGCUUGCUGUCUUGUUCUCUGCCGCGGACUGGGAUCGCUCGCCAGCUAGGCCCUCUAGAAAAAAGUUGGAGCAACAUUGUAUGAGAAGAGAGGUCCCGCCAUUGCAACGAUGGGCGAUAGGAAAGGAAGGACGAUGGUUGGGCGGUCGGCCGAUGACUGGAGUAAAGAGAGAAGGUGCUUGA
rnacentral:rRNA from 1 species